rnacentral:rRNA from 1 species
UACGGGGGGGGCAAGCGUUGUUCGGAAUUACUGGGCGUAAAGGGCUCGUAGGUGGCCAACUAAGUCAGACGUGAAAUCCCUCGGCUUAACCGGGGAACUGCGUCUGAUACUGGAUGGCUUGAGUUUGGGAGAGGGACGCGGAAUUCCAGGUGUAGCGGUGAAAUGCGUAGAUAUCUGGAGGAACACCGGUGGCGAAGGCGACUACCUGGCCUGUUCUUGACGCUGAGGCGCGAAAGCUAGGGGAGCAAACGGG